rnacentral:rRNA from 1 species
GACGAACGCUGGCGGCGUGCUUAACACAUGCAAGUCGAACGGAAAGGCCCUGCUUUCGUGGGGUGCUCGAGUGGCGAACGGGUGAGUAACACGUGAGUAACCUGCCCUUGACUUUGGGAUAACUUCAGGAAACUGGGGCUAAUACCGGAUAGGAGCUCCUGCUGCAUGGUGGGGGUUGGAAAGUUUCGGCGGUUGGGGAUGGACUCGCGGCUUAUCAGCUUGUUGGUGGGGUAGUGGCUUACCAAGGCUUUGACGGGUAGCCGGCCUGAGAGGGUGACCGGCCACAUUGGGACUGAGAUGCGGCCCAGACUCCUACGGGAGGCAGCAGUGGGGAAUAUUGCACAAUGGGCGGAAGCCUGAUGCAGCAACGCCGCGUGCGGGAUGACGGCCUUCGGGUUGUAAACCGCUUUCGCCUGUGACGAAGCGUGAGUGACGGUAAUGGGUAAAGAAGCACCGGCUAACUACG